UACGAAGGGGGCGAGCGUUGUUCGGAUUUACUGGGCGUAAAGGGCGCGCAGGCGGCUAUUUUUGUCAGGCGUGAAAGCCCCGGGCUUAACCUGGGAACAGCGCUUGAGACGGGAUGGCUAGAGAUCGGGAGAGGAGAGUGGAAUUCCCAGUGUAGAGGUGAAAUUCGUAGAUAUUGGGAAGAACACCGGUGGCGAAGGCGGCUCACUGGCUCGUUUCUGACGCUCAGGCGCGACAGCGUGGGGAUCAAACAGG
rnacentral:rRNA from 1 species